CCUACGUGUGGCAGCAGUGGGGAAUAUUGGACAAUGGGCGAAAGCCUGAUCCAGCCAUGCCGCGUGUGUGAAGAAGGCCUUCGGGUUGUAAAGCACUUUCAGUGGGGAAGAAAGCCUUGGGGCUAAUACCCUCGAGGAAGGACAUCACCCACAGAAGAAGCACCGGCUAACUCCGUGCCAGCAGCCGCGGUAAUACGGAGGGUGCGAGCGUUAAUCGGAAUUACUGGGCGUAAAGCGCGCGUAGGCGGUCUGAUAAGCCGGUUGUGAAAGCCCCGGGCUCAACCUGGGAACGGCAUCCGGAACUGUCAGGCUAGAGUGCAGGAGAGGAAGGUAGAAUUCCCGGUGUAGCGGUGAAAUGCGUAGAGAUCGGGAGGAAUACCAGUGGAGAAGGCGGCCUUCUGGACUGACACUGACGCUGAGGUGCGAAAGCGUGGGUAGCAAACAGGAUUAGAGACCCCAGUAGUC
rnacentral:rRNA from 1 species